rnacentral:rRNA from 1 species
GACGGAAGGUGCAAGCGUUGCUCGGAAUCACUGGGCGUAAAGGGUGCGUAGGCGGCUUCUUAAGUCCGGUGUGAAAGCCCAGGGCUCAGCUCUGGAAGUGCACUAGAAACUGGGAAGCUUGAGUACCGGAGGGGAGAGUGGAAUUCCUGGUGUAGCGGUGAAAUGCGUAGAUAUCAGGAGGAAUACCGGUGGCGAAAGCGACUCUCUGGACGGUUACUGACGCUGAGGCACGAAAGCGUGGGGAGCAAACAGGAUUAGAUACCCUGGUAGUCCACGCCGUAAACGAUGGGCACUAGGUGUCGGGGGUAUCCACUCCCUCGGUGCCGCCGCUAACGCAUUAAGUGUCCCGCCUGGGAAGUACGGUCGCAAGAUUAAA